UUCACAUAUUUGGAGACUUUAACUUGCAAACUUGGUGGAUUUGGAGACUUCAACUUGCAAACUUAGUGGAUUUUGAGACUUCAACU
rnacentral:pre_miRNA from 1 species